CAAAAACAUCGCUAGAUGGGUUUAAUAUUUAGUUGUUUCUGCUCAAUGGUUAACUAAAUAGCCGCAGUACCCUGACUGUGCAAAGGUAGCAUAAUCAUUUGGCUCAUAAUUGGAGUCUGGCAUGAAAGAAUUGAUGGAUAACCACUGUCUUUUUAGGUUUCUAAGAAAUUACUGAGUAGGUGAAAAUACCUACAUUUUAAUAAUAGACGAGAAGACCCUAGAAAUUUUAUAUAAGGUGGUGAUAGUUAUUAUAAUUAUUUUGUUGGGGCGACAGAAUAACAAGUAACUUAUUUUAUUUGAUAGGAACUAUAUGUUGUGAUAAAAUAAAUUACUCUAGGGAUAACAGCAUAAUUUAUUAGAGUUUGUGACCUCGAUGUUGGACUAGGGUUUGGCGUGCUUAGAAGGCACCACAACGAGCUCUGUUCGAGCAAAGAUCCCUACGUGAUCU
rnacentral:rRNA from 1 species